GAUGACUGUCCUCAAAUGGAACUUUUCCAGUCACAAGUUCAAAGCACACCAUUCCAAAGCUGUAUACAUCUGAUUUUUCUGUAUAUUUUGAAUUUCGUGUACUUCCUGCCUGUUCUUGGGCUUCCAAUACUUCUGGCGCAUACCAGAUGAAUGGGAGAGUUUCAUUCUGAUUUGAAGAGUUUUUAGGUGAGAAUUUCUGAACUGAUGAGAGUCCAAACCCUGAAACCUUGGCAUGCAGGUACCCUUCUGAGCUUACAUUUCUUGGUUUAACAAGAAUGUUAGAAGGUUUUAACUUCCCAUGAUAAAUUUUCUUAGAGUGAAGAUACUCCAUUCCUCUGGCAAUUUGAAGCAUAAGAUCCAAUGCAACAGGAAGAGAAAAAGGAAUUCUCUUUCUCGGACCGCAAAUCUCUCUGAUGUAGCUGCUGAGAUCUCUAUGCAUUAGUUCCAUAACCAAAAAACAC
rnacentral:lncRNA from 1 species